rnacentral:misc_RNA from 1 species
GAUGAAGAACGCAGCGAAAUGCGAUACGUAAUGUGAAUUGCAGAAUUCAGUGAAUCAUCGAAUCUUUGAACGCAUAUUGCGCUCUCUGGUAUUCCGGAGAGCAUGCUUGUUUGAGUAUCAGUAAACACCUCAACUUCCAUAUCUUUUUUGAAAUGGGAGUUGGACUUGAGUGAUCCCAACGCUUUUCCUCACCGAAAAGUGGCGGGUUACUUGAAAUGCAGGUGCAGCUGGACUUUUCUCUGAGCUAUAAGCAUAUCUAUUUAGUCUGCCUAAAAAACAGAUUAUUACCUUUGCUGCAGCUAACAUAAAGGAGAUUAGUUCUUGUGCUGACUGAUGCAGGAUGCACAAAGACAGGCUUCGGCCGACUUUGUAAACUCGAUCUCAAAUCAAGUAAGACUACCCGCUGAACUUAAGCAUAUCAAUAAGCGGAGGA